UACGUAGGGGGCAAGCGUUGUCCGGAAUCAUUGGGCGUAAAGCGCGUGUAGGCGGCUCGGUAAGUCUGCUGUGAAAGUCCAGGGCUCAACCCUGGGAUGCCGGUGGAUACUGUCGAGCUCGAGUCCGGAAGAGGCGAGUGGAAUUCCUGGUGUAGCGGUGAAAUGCGCAGAUAUCAGGAAGAACACCCGUGGCGAAGGCGGCUCUCUGGGACGGUACUGACGCUGAGCCGCGAAAGCCAGGGGAGCGAACGGG
rnacentral:rRNA from 1 species